CCCACCAAAUUGAUUAAUUUCCAUGUGCCAAAUUAAUAUAAGGGGCCAUAUAUGCAUUAUUUAUUCAUUAGAAACUUCAAGAACCAAGAACAAAACACAAAGAAGAGCAAAAAUAAGGCCAUUUCGGGUUUGGCCAUAGGAAAAUCACCCCUCAAAAUCUUGCCUCUAAAAUUAUUUUCUUGUGGUAUUCCUACUAAUUUAAUGGUCCUUUACAACUUGGUGUAAUUGUUUUGGAAGAAGGAGCACUUAUUUCUUCAAGUUGACAACUUGUUCAAGUGAAGGAGUUUGUAGAAAAAGAUUUUGAAGGAAACGGGAAUUGAAUUUGGAAAGGCGUAAAGAGCAUACAAGGUACAGACGACAGAUUUGCUGACCCGCCUGCCUAGGACAUCUAUUCUGCUAUAUUGGGAGUGCUCUUUUGUCCAGAGCCUAUAUGUUG